rnacentral:piRNA from 1 species
UGAGAUAAAUUUUUGAAAAAA